rnacentral:rRNA from 1 species
AUUGAACGCUGGCGGCAGGCUUAACACAUGCAAGUCGAGCGGAGAGAGGUAGCUUGCUACUGAUCUUAGCGGCGGACGGGUGAGUAAUGCUUAGGAAUCUGCCUAUUAGUGGGGGACAACAUUUCGAAAGGAAUGCUAAUACCGCAUACGUCCUACGGGAGAAAGCAGGGGAUCUUCGGACCUUGUGCUAAUAGAUGAGCCUAAGUCAGAUUAGCUAGUUGGUGGGGUAAAGGCCUACCAAGGCGACGAUCUGUAGCGGGUCUGAGAGGAUGAUCCGCCACACUGGGACUGAGACACGGCCCAGACUCCUACGGGAGGCAGCAGUGGGGAAUAUUGGACAAUGGGCGCAAGCCUGAUCCAGCCAUGCCGCGUGUGUGAAGAAGGCCUUAUGGUUGUAAAGCACUUUAAGCGAGGAGGAGGCUACUUUAGUUAAUACCUAGAGAUAGUGGACGUUACUCGCAGAAUAAGCACCGGCUAACUCUGUGCCAGCAGCCGCGGUAACAC